AUACGGAGGAUGCAAGCGUUAUCCGGAUUUAUUGGGUUUAAAGGGUGCGUAGGCGGGUGAAUAAGCGUGAGGUGAAAUGCCCUGGCUCAACCAGGGAACUGCCUCGCGAACUGUUCGUCUUGAAUGCUCCUGCCGUGGGAGGAAUGGGUAGUGUAGCGGUGAAAUGCAUAGAUAUUACCCAGAACACCGAUUGCGAAGGCAUCUCACGAAGGGGCAAUUGACGCUGAGGCACGAAAGCGUGGGGAGCGAACAGGAUUAGAUACCCUGGUAGUCCACGCAGUAAACGAUGAUGACUAACCGCCGGCGAUAUAGUGAUCGGUGGCCAAGCGAAAGCGAUAAGUCACCCACCUGGGGAGUACGACCGCAAGGUUGAAACUCAAAGGAAUUGACGGGG
rnacentral:rRNA from 1 species